GUCGAGUGCGCGGUUGUAGCAAUACAACUGGCGCACGGCGCACGGGUGCGUAACACGUGGGCAAUCUGCCCUUCGAUGGGGAAUAACUCCGGGAAACCGAAGCUAAUUCCGCAUAACAUUCCUUGGACUUCGGUUCGAGGAUUCAAAGCCGUAAGGCGUCGAAGGAGGAGCCCGCGCACGAUUAGCUAGUUGGUAGGGUAACGGCCUACCAAGGCUUUGAUCGUUAGCUGGUCUGAGAGGAUGGCCAGCCACACUGGAACUGAGACACGGUCCAGACUCCUACGGGAGGCAGCAGUGGGGAAUCUUGCACAAUGGGCGAAAGCCUGAUGCAGCGACGCCGCGUGGGGGAUGAAGCAUCUCGGUGUGUAAACCCCUUUCGACCCGGACGAAUGCCUCGCAAGAGGAGUGACGGUACGGGUAUAAGAAGCCCCGGCUAACUACGUGCCAGCAGCCGCGGUAAGACGUAGGGGGCCAGCGUUGUUCGGAAUUACUGGGUGUAAAGGGUUCGUAGGCGGUGUGGCAAGUUGGGAGUGAAAUCUCUGGGCUCAACCCAGAGGCUGCUUCCAAAACUGCCAUGCUUGAGUGUGGGAGAGGCGCGUGGAAUUGCAGGUGUAGCGGUGAAAUGCGUAGAUAUCUGCAGGAACACCCGUGGCGA
rnacentral:rRNA from 1 species